GUGGGGAAUAUUGGACAAUGGGCGAAAGCCUGAUCCAGCCAUGCCGCGUGUGUGAAGAAGGUCUUCGGAUUGUAAAGCACUUUAAGUUGGGAGGAAGGGCAGUAAGUUAAUACCUUGCUGUUUUGACGUUACCAACAGAAUAAGCACCGGCUAACUUCGUGCCAGCAGCCGCGGUAAUACGAAGGGUGCAAGCGUUAAUCGGAAUUACUGGGCGUAAAGCGCGCGUAGGUGGUUUUGUAAGUUGGAGGUGAAAUCCCCGGGCUCAACCUGGGAACUGCCUCCAAAACUGCAUGACUAGAGUACGGUAGAGGGUAGUGGAAUUUCCUGUGUAGCGGUGAAAUGCGUAGAUAUAGGAAGGAACACCAGUGGCGAAGGCGACUACCUGGACUGAUACUGACACUGAGGUGCGAAAGCGUGGGGAGCAAACAGGAUUAGAUACCCGAGUAGUCC
rnacentral:rRNA from 1 species